rnacentral:rRNA from 1 species
ACUCAAAUGAAUAGACGGGGACCCGCACAAGCAGCGGAGCAUGUGGUUUAAUUCGAAGCAACGCGAAGAACCUUACCAAGGCUUGACAUCCCCUUGACCGGCACAGAGAUGUGCCCUCUCCUUCGGGAGCAAGGGUGACAGGUGGUGCAUGGUUGUCGUCAGCUCGUGUCGUGAGAUGUUGGGUUAAGUCCCGCAACGAGCGCAACCCUUAUCUUUAGUUGCCAGCAUUUAAGGUGGGCACUCUAAAGAGACUGCCGAUGAUAAAUCGGAGGAAGGUGGGGAUGACGUCAAAUCAUCAUGCCCCUUAUGUCUUGGGCUACACACGUGCUACAAUGGUCGGCACAACGGGGAGCGAAGGAGUGAUCUGGAGCAAAUCCCAAUAAACCGAUCCCAGUUCGGAUUGUAGGCUGCAACUCGCCUACAUGAAGUCGGAGUUGCUAGUAAUCGCGAAUCAGAACGUCGCGGUGAAUGCGUUCCCGGGUCUUGUACACACCGCCCGU